GACGAAGGUGGCGAGCGUUGUUCGGAAUCACUGGGCUUAAAGCGCAUGUAGGCGGCCUGUCAAGUGUCUUGUGAAAUCCCCCGGCUCAACCGGGGAAUUGCUGGGCAAACUGAUGGGCUUGAGGCAGGUAGGGGCGAGUGGAACUCUUGGUGGAGCGGUGGAAUGCGUAGAUAUCAAGAGGAACGCCGGAGGUGAAGACGACUCGCUGGGCCUGUCCUGACGCUGAGAUGCGAAAGCCAGGGGAGCAAACAGG
rnacentral:rRNA from 1 species